UGCCCACCAACUCCUAUCCCUACCUCCUCGCGGUACUGGCAAGGGUACGAGUAACCUUAGGGAAGAUCGGGUAACCAACCCCCGGUGGGAACUUUGGUCGUAUGCUGACAGGGAAGG
rnacentral:ribozyme from 1 species